rnacentral:rRNA from 1 species
UACGAAGGGUGCAAGCGUUACUCGGAAUUACUGGGCGUAAAGCGUGCGUAGGUGGUUUGUUAAGUCUGUUGUGAAAGCCCCGGGCUCAACCUGGGAAUGGCAAUGGAUACUGGCAAGCUAGAGUGCGGUAGAGGGUAGUGGAAUUCCCGGUGUAGCGGUGAAAUGCGUAGGGAUCGGGAGGAACACCAGUGGCGAAGGCGGCUACCUGGACCAGCACUGACACUGAGGCACGAAAGCGUGGGGAGCAAACAGG